rnacentral:rRNA from 1 species
GCANAACGCUGGCGGCGUGCCUAAUACAUGCAAGUCGAGCGGACAGAUGGGAGCUUGCUCCCUGAUGUNAGCGGCGGACGGGUGAGUAACACGUGGGUAACCUGCCUGUAAGACUGGGAUAACUCCGGGAAACCGGGGCUAAUACCGGAUGCUUGAUUGAACCGCAUGGUUCAAUUAUAAAAGGUGGCUUUUAGCUACCACUUACAGAUGGACCCGCGGCGCAUUAGCUAGUUGGUGAGGUAACGGCUCACCAAGGCAACGAUGCGUAGCCGACCUGAGAGGGUGAUCGGCCACACUGGGACUGAGACACGGCCCAGACUCCUACGGGAGGCAGCAGUAGGGAAUCUUCCGCAAUGGACGAAAGUCUGACGGAGCAACGCCGCGUGAGUGAUGAAGGUUUUCGGAUCGUAAAACUCUGUUGUUAGGGAAGAACAAGUACCGUUCGAAUAGGGCGGUACCUUG